GGCGUUGAGCGUACCCGGUGGUUCUAACGGGUACGUUGCGUUCACCCAAAUAGCCAACUUAUUACUGAUUUGGCUUGGCUCCCGUUGGAUUUUUAAAAGGCGGCGGUAGUGCGCUUUAGACAUUUCUUGAAUUUCUUGUGAGCGUCUGUGCAACAAGGUGUAACCUUUCUCUAUGGUGAAAACUUUACGAGAUGUUUCUGCGUUGUAUGUUCGAUUUAAGUGGUCUUCGCUGCCGUGGUUAGUUUGUUUGGCUGCCCAGACUUGUUGCAGCCCAAGUAACAGUGAAGGGUGGCCAUCGAGCCAGGUUAUGGCUAUCUACCAGGACCCGCUGACGCUGCACGAGCUCCAAGCAUCGCAGUGCACCAGGAGCCCAGUGCACCAGGAACCCAAAUGCUUCGCAACCUGGCCGCCAGCGAGCAGCUGCACCUGCUUGACUGCUUAAACAUCUGGCAGUCAGGGCAGGUGCCGGAGUCAUGGCGCACAGCCUACGUGGCCCCCAUCCUGAAGGCCAGCUGAAAAACGUGAGCUCCUAUCGGCCA